AGCAGCUGCCCAGGCCCCGAGGGUCCAGCGCCCCCUCCGCACCCACCCGCGCCGCGGGGAGGCCCAGCCGCCGGGCCUUUCAGAGGUAAUUAGCCUCAUGCAUAUGGAUGCCCCGCGCUCCAAAGAGGUUGCGCGGUCGUAACCUGACCACCGGAGGAGUGCGGGAAGAAAAGACCACUUUCUGGGCUGGGCCUCCAGCAGAAAGCAGGCAGCUGGGCGCCGCGCCGGUGUGACCGCCGCCGCCGGGCUUCUCCCUCCGCAGCGCGCGGGGCUGCAGCGCCCGGUGACCCACGGGCCUCGCAGGCGGCCCUGCCCGGUCCCUGUGCAGCGUCGCGGUAAUGCUAUCGGCUCUGGGAAUUCAUUCUGCAGCUUUCCUUUUCCUUGAUGGUUUUCAUUUCCUGUCUUUCAGAGCUGGAAGCGUUUAUGGAAUAUCACAUGGUUUUCGUUUACACAGGAAGUCAGCUGCAGUGUCACUGUUUUCCGAAGUGGCCUGUGACUACACGCAGAAAGCAGCAGUUUAUUUCUGACACGUGGUAAUCACUCUACGUGAGGAAAGCUCAGCAGGAAGAGGCGCUUUUGCUUUUCCCGGAGCUUAAGCGUGAGCCCGGGGGAUGGGCGAGGGGCCCCCGGGACUGGCCUCGGAGCAGCUGGGAGCCCAGCCUGGACCCGGCGCGGCUCUGGCCGCCUGCCAAGCUCGGUUCCCACCCUUCCGGGGGAAAACA